rnacentral:rRNA from 1 species
AACGCUAGCUACAGGCUUAACACAUGCAAGUCGAGGGGUAGCAGGGUAGCAAUACCGCUGACGACCGGCGCACGGGUGAGUAACACGUAUCCAACCUGCCGAUUACUCGGGGAUAACCUCUCGAAAGAGAGCCUAAUACCCGAUGGCAUACCUGUUCCGCAUGGGACCGGUAUUAAAGGAUUUCGGUAAUCGAUGGGGAUGCGUUCCAUUAGCUUGUUGGCGGGGUAACGGCCCACCAAGGCAACGAUGGAUAGGGGUUCUGAGAGGAAGGUCCCCCACAUUGGAACUGAGACACGGUCCAAACUCCUACGGGAGGCAGCAGUGAGGAAUAUUGGUCAAUGGGCGAAGGCCUGAACCAGCCAAGUAGCGUGAAGGAUGACUGCCCUAUGGGUUGUAAACUUCUUUUAUACGGGAAUAAAGUGCGGCACGUGUGCCGUUUUGUAUGUACCGUAUGAAUAAGGAUCGGCUAACUCCGUGCCAGCAGCCGCGGCAAUACGGAGGAUCCGAGCGCUAUCCGGAUUUAUUGGGUUUAAAGGGAGCGUAGGCGGACGUUAAGUCAGUUGUGAAAGUUUGCGGCUCAACCGUAAAAUUGCAGUUGAUACUGUCGUCCUUGAGUGCGGCAUAGGUGGGCGGAAUUCGUGGUGUAGCGGUGAAAUGCUUAGAUAUCACGAAGAACUCCGAUUG